GAUGAACGCUAGCGGCAGGCCUAAUACAUGCAAGUCGAACGGUGUAGCAAUACACAGUGGCGCACGGGUGCGUAACACGUAUGCAACCUACCUAUUAUUGGGGGAUAGCCUUUGGAAACGGAGAUUAAUACCGCAUAAGACAGUGACAUAGCAUCAUGUAGCUGUUAAAGCUUCGGCGAUAAUAGAUGGGCAUGCGUCCAAUUAGUUAGUUGGUGAGGUAAUGGUUCACCAAGAGGAUGAGUGUGAGGGGAUCUGAGAGGAUAAGCCCGCACACUGGCACUGAGAUACGGGCCAGACUCCUACGGGAGGCAGCAGUAGGGAAUAGUGGGCAAUGGGAGGAAGCCUGACCCAGCCGCGCCGCGUGCAGGGUGACGGCGUUAGUCGUUGUAAACUGCUUUUGUAUAGGAAGAAGAAGCCCUUGCGAGGGAAAGUGACGGUACUAUAAGAAUAAGCACCGGCUAACUCCGUGCCAGCCGCCGCGGUAAGAC
rnacentral:rRNA from 1 species